rnacentral:rRNA from 1 species
GACGAACGCUGGCGGCGUGCUUAACACAUGCAAGUCGAACGGUGAAGCGCCUUCCUUUUUGGAGGGUGAGGAUGAGUGGCGAACGGGUGAGUAACACGUGAGUAACCUGCCACCUUCUUCUGGAUAACCGCAUGAAAGUGUGGCUAAUACGGGAUCUCCUGUGUCCGUCGCCUGAUGGGUCUGGGCAAGAUUUUGUUUCGGUGGGGGAUGGGGUCGCGGCCUAUCAGCUUGUUGGUGGGGUGAUGGCCUACCAAGGCUGUGACGGGUAGCCGGCCCGAGAGGGUGGACGGGCAGACGAGGACAGAGACACGAGCCAGACUCCUACGGCAGGCAGCGGGGAGGAAUACGGCACAAUGGGCGCAAGCCUGGUGCAGCAACGCCGCGUGAGUGAGGAAGGCCUUCGGGUUGAAAACAGCUUUCGCGAGUGAAGCAGGCCUGCCGCGAUUGUGGAUGGGUUGACGGUAGCUGAAGAAGAAGCGACGGCUAACUACGUG